rnacentral:rRNA from 1 species
GACGAACGCUGGCGGCGUGCUUAACACAUGCAAGUCGAACGGAAAGGCCUGCUUUCCCUUGUGGAUUGCGGGUACUCGAGUGGCGAACGGGUGAGUAACACGUGAGUGAUCUGCCCCCAACUUGGGUAUAAGCCUGGGAAACUGGGUCUAAUUCCCGAUAGGACUGCAGGGUGGUGCCUGUGGUGGAAAACGAUUUUCUAGUGGUUGGGGAUGAGCUCGCGGCCUAUCAGCUUGUUGGUGGGGUAAUGGCCUACCAAGGCGGCGACGGGUAGCCGGCCUGAGAGGGUGGACGGCCACAUUGGGACCGAGAUACGGCCCAGACUCCUACGGGAGGCAGCAGUGGGGAAUAUUGCACAAUGGGCGGAAGCCUGAUGCAGCGACGCCGCGUGGGGGAUGACGGCCUUCGGGUUGUAAACUCCUUUCGACCGCGAGGAAGCCGCCUGGUUGGAAGGGUGGUGACGGUAGUGGUAGAAGAAGCACCGGCUAACUACGUG